GAUGAACGCUGGCGGCGUGCCUAAUACAUGCAAGUCGAGCGAACGGACGAGAAGCUUGCUUCUCUGAUGUUAGCGGCGGACGGGUGAGUAACACGUGGAUAACCUACCUAUAAUACUGGUAUAACUUCGGGAAACCGGAGCUAAUACCGGAUGAUAUUUUGAACCGCAUGGUUCAAAAGUGAAAGACGGUCUUGCUGUCACGUAUAGAUGGAUCCGCGCUGCAUUAGCUAGUUGCUAAGUUAACGGGCUACCAAGGCAACGAUGCAUAGCCGACCUGAGAGGGUGAUCGGCCACACGGGAGCUGGGCCACGGUCAAGACUCCUAAGGGAGGCAGCAGUAGGGAAUCUUAGGCAAUGGGCGGAAGCCUGACGGAGCAACGCCGCGUGAGUGAUGAAGGUCUUCGGAUCGUAAAACUCUGUUAUUAGGGAAGAACAUAUGUGUACGUAAAUGUGCACAUAUUGACGGUACCUAAUAAGAAAGCCACGGCUAACUACGUG
rnacentral:rRNA from 1 species